rnacentral:misc_RNA from 1 species
GAUGAAGAACGUAGCGAAAUGCGAUAAGUAAUGUGAAUUGCAGAAUUCAGUGAAUCAUCGAAUCUUUGAACGCACAUUGCGCCCGCCAGUAUUCUGGCGGGCAUGCCUGUCCGAGCGUCAUUUCAACCCUCGAACCCCUCCGGGGGGGUCGGCGUUGGGGACCUCGGGAGCCCCUAAGACGGGAUCCCGGCCCCGAAAUACAGUGGCGGUCUCGCCGCAGCCUCUCCUGCGCAGUAGUUUGCACAACUCGCACCGGGAGCGCGGCGCGUCCACGUCCGUAAAACACCCAACUUCUGAAAUGUUGACCUCGGAUCAGGUAGGAAUACCCGCUGAACUUAAGCAUAUCAAUAAGCGGAGGA